AUCCAGGUGACGAGUUCCAAACAAGACGAAAUAUCCAUCCUGGAU
rnacentral:hammerhead_ribozyme from 1 species